AUGGACAACCUAAUCCUCAGCUGCACAAAGUGCCUCCCUGCAUGCUAUCGCCUCCAAAAUCAUUGGGUCAUCCACUCCUUGCACCACCAGGGCUGCGCUGCCCAGGUAGUUUCCUUCGGCAUCCCUGCAUACCACUGCUGCCGAACCACCUCGCCCUGGUCUGACGGCCCCGUCCACAUGAAGCUUAGCAUGGUUUGCCGGAGGAGCUCUCGGGCGAGUUCUACCCGUGAGAUGAGAAAAACAAAAACCGGUGCGAACGUGUAUGAUGCAAACAGAAAGUUCGGCGGGGAUCAGGCCAUGGCCACGGCGCUUCGCCACGCGGCGAGGAGGUUCGGAACCAGAGCGGCGGCGGAGGCGGAGGCGGAGGCUAUCAUUGAGCGUAGUCCGCUGUACACUAGCACACGGAUCGUCGAUUCCACCACAGGCCGUGACCUCACGCCCAAUCAGAGGAAAGAUGCCAUCUUCCGCUUGGCUCAAAUCCAUGCCCAGAAAGAGGACCUCUACAACACAAUCGCUGCCUGGCAAGCUGACUACACUGCUAAGGGCAAUGUAGUGACCCGGAAAAACAACCUUUUGCUCAAACAACUCUCUCAGCAUGUCAAACCUAGACCCGAUGACCCCCGCUGGUAUCUCUCUCUCCCCCUUCACCUCACCUAA
rnacentral:rRNA from 1 species